AAUGAUACCCCAGGUAGUCCACGCCGUAAACGAUGGAUGCUAGCUGUUAUGAGUAUCGACCCUUGUAGUAGCGUAGCUAACGCGUUAAGCAUCCCGCCUGUGGAGUACGGUCGCAAGACUAAAACAUAAAGGAAUUGACGGGGACCCGCACAAGCGGUGGAGCGUGUUGUUUAAUUCGAUGGUAAGCGAAGAACCUUACCCAGGCUUGACAUCCUGCUAAUCACUCCGAAAGGAGAGAGUGCCUUCGGGCCGCAGUGACAGGUGUUGCAUGGCCGUCGUCAGCUCGUGUCGUGAGAUGUUUGGUUAAGUCCAUCAACGAGCGCAACCCUUUAUAGUUAGUUGUAUUUCUCUAGCUAGACUGCCCUGGCAACAGGGAGGAAGGGAGGGGAUGAUGUCAGGUCAGUAUUACCCUUACGCCUGGGGCUACAAACACGCUACAAUGGCCGGUACAAAGGGCAGCCAACCCGGCGGAGGGGGGAGGCAAACUCCCAUCAAACGCCGGUCUCAGUUCGGAUUGCAGGCUGAAACUCGCCUGC
rnacentral:rRNA from 1 species